rnacentral:rRNA from 1 species
UACGUAGGGUGCAAGCGUUAAUCGGAAUUACUGGGCGUAAAGCGUGCGCAGGCGGUUAUGUAAGACAGAUGUGAAAUGCCCGGGCUUAACCUGGGAACUGCAUUUGUGACUGCAUGGCUAGAGUUUGGCAGAGGGGGGUAGAAUUCCACAUGUAGCAGUGAAAUGCGUAGAUAUGUGGAGGAACACCGAUGGCGAAGGCAGCCCCCUGGGUCAAGACUGACGCUCAUGCACGAAAGCGUGGGGAGCAAACAGG